UCAGGUCUCGAGUAUCUCUCUUUGUGUUUGGUGGAGACAGGACUUUAUAAUAACAGACGGACAUCUCUGAGCUUCAUAUUUAAGAAGACAGAGCUGGGGAGAGGAGAGGGAAGGGGAAGGAACAGAGGAAAUGAAGAUGACGAUCAUACUGCUUAAGUUCUGCUCAACUCUCCAGGGGGAACUGCAACAAGAGCAAAGAGUCAAGAGAAGAGCCCCUACUGCCCCUCACCCAGAGCACAGAGAAGCAGCUAAGCACUGGAAACAAGCAGAUGUCCAUCACCUAGAAGAAUGGCUAAACAAACUGUGUUACAUGAACAUAAUGGAAUACUACUGUGCUGUAAGAAAUGAUGUAUUUGAUGAAUACAGAGAAACAUGGAAAGAUAUAUGAACUGAUGUAGAACAAAGUAAGUAGCGGCAAGAAAAUCACAUACACAGUAACUACAAUAAUGUAAAUGGAAAGAAUUAUUACACAUCAAAAAUGAAAAAUAAAAUUAUAUGGAUUAAUCAUCUCUCUAAUGAAAAGAUAUGAGGAGAUAUUCCCAAGGGAGGUGGGAGAUGAGAGGGGAGGUUCACAAGAGCUAUAUGUUGCAUAUAUUUUUAAACUUUUUCAAUGUAUUAAUCAGUUUGGGUAAGUUUUUUUCCUUUCUCUCUAUUAAAAAAUCCUAUUUGUCAUAUGAAAUGACUUUCCAGGCUGGAGAGGGCUACAUGGGGUAACAAUGAUGAUGAAGGAAACAAAAUUUCAAUAAAAAAUUUAUCAUAAGACCUCCAGAAUUAUGGUUGGUUAUAAUCCUAACAACUUAUUUUCCAUUACAGACCAGAUAAGAGAGGACUAGGAGAGUCUAAAUUUAAGUUAACUUUCUAGCCUCUGACAUCAACUACCACAAACAGCCAGGCAUGUCAAACUAAUUGAAGCAGCAAUGAGGAAUACAGAAGACAGUACAUUUCAUAUAAGUUAAACCUACUAUCCUCUCAGUUAUCACCUCCCCUAACAUUUAGGUGGAAGCAUAUCCAACAUCCUGGAGAUUAACAAAACGUGACCUUGAACUUCAGGGCAUCAGCUUUUCUUCUAGCCUCCCUUUCUCCCCCAGCCAACCUGGGGAACAAUUUCUAUAUAGAUGAACAGUCUUUCCUAAUGCUACCAUCAAUACUAACUACCUGCUCAUUAUCAUCUUCCUCUUCAUCCACCUAGCUAUUCCUCAAACAAUCCCCUCAUCACAGUGAUUGUGGAAAUCAGGACAUAAUUCCCAAGAGGGAAAGGA